ACAAAGCUUACACACACAAUUCUGUGGGAGCUGUGACGUUAGCGUUCUGCGACUGAGCAGUGCUAUCUGUGGUAGAAGCGGUGUUUCAUGUUUGGAAGCGUGGUCACUGCAUGGGUUUGUUUUCGUAGCAAUGACUGAAAGUAUGGCAUUGUUUUCGUAACAUUUGUGACGGAAAUCUUGUUCUCACUGUCAUAUUCGAUUCGGAUUGUUAUUGAGCAUCUUGUCAAAAUGCCACGCAAGUGCUGUAUGCCCUAUUGUAGGGGAAACUACGACAACGGUUUAAAAGUUAGCGUCUUUUCGUUCCCGUCUGAUGAAGCAUUAAGAUUGAAACGGAUCGCUGCAGUUCAUAGGAAAGACUGGGAACCCAGUUCGUUAUAUGUGAACUGCAUUUCACUGCAGACGACAUUGAGAAAAUUACCAGUGCUUACGACCCAAAACUGGCAAACUCUUUACAGUUUACAGCACCGUUGGACCGUCCACGUUUAAAGAAACAUGCUGUACCAUCAAAGUUGCCAGGAUGACCUACGUAUUUAUCUUCAAAACAAGCACCAGCUCGAGAAGAUCCAGAGGGUCGCGAACGUUUGGGGAACCAAGCACUUGAGAAAGUCAUUGAGCAGAGUGUGGAAUCACACAAAAAAUGAUGGAGAAGGGUUCAUUUGCUAGUUUAGAAGAUUUUAAAUCAAAAUUAUCUGAUUGUGAAAAGCACGGUGACUGGGUCACGGGUGUUAAAGGAUGCUCCUUAUCUAAGUGUUGUGUGUCAUGUCGUUAUAAAUAGUGAUUUAGUGUUAAGUGCAUUUGUGAAGGAAGCUGAGCUAAAUUGUGCUGGUAAGAUUAAAUUAUCAAACCAAGUAAGUGAUACUGGUACAGUUAGCAAUAUUUUGAAAGAGUUGUAUGUGAUGUUUCAUAUACAUGAGGCUCCAUUUGAGGCAAGUUUGUCUUGCAUUGAAGACAUUUUGGAAAACUUGUAAUAAAAGUUACCAGAAAGUGAGCAUAAAAUUAAAUUUUUGAAGGAACAAGUUUCAUUUCCAAGAUUUAAUAGUCCAACACAGAUUAGGUACGGGAGUGUUUCAAUGAUUUUAUGGUCAUUACCUUAUUCUAUCAGUCCACAUGCAUAUAGGUUUUUGACGAGUGCUCGUAAUUUUUCCAUUCCCCGUCCCAGUACUUUGUCAAAACUUUGGAGUAAAAUUCCAACUAACCCAAUCAUUCAACAUCAGAGUGAGCAGUUUCUCAGUUACAUACCACAAAAAGUUGGUGCUUUAUCUGUGAAUGAUAAAACUGUCCUGUUGAUGGAUGAGAUUUAUUUAAAGUCACAACUUGAAUAUAAAGGUGGCAAUGUUGUAGGUGGUGCUUUUAACACAGAUGUGGUUUUGUGUGCAACUAGUGCUUAUGUUUUUAUGAUCCAGAGUAUGGAUUCAGUGUACAAAGAUGUGGUGCAUAU